AGCACAAGGUUAUCCCCAGUGUCCCAGAGCCCAGGACUUUGACAGUCAGCCCUAGUCUGCCAGGAGAUCCACCUGCUCUUUUUGAGCCCAAAUCUGGCAAUCAGCUCGACACUGCCUGUGUCAUCAGGACGUGACAGGCAGACUCUGGUGCUGCCAAGGCUGGGGCUGGGGCUUCACUUUGCUUUGUGCAUCUCUGCAUGUGAGACACGUCAGCUGAAGUCUGGUGGGCUCUUAAGAUGAGCAGAGUCUCUCAUCUGACUGCCCACCAUCUCAGGCCCUCGACUUUCCAGGGCUGGGUUCAGCUGUGUCCCUUUCUCUCCCUCCUCCCCACACCCCUCAAUCCCUGCCCCACUUCCCGUGCAUGAAUCCCUGCCUCAGAGCUGGGGUUAAAGUCCAUCACCCCACCCUGGCAGAGCAUCUCACGCAUCUCACAUGCUCUGAAGCACUCUCCUUCCACCCCCCCCAGGAGACCCUACCAAACCGUCUGGAUUUAGGAGCGUCAAAGCCCCCACCACAAAGGUGGCCUCAUCCAUCGGGAAUGCCCAGAAGCUGCCCAUGUGUGAGAAGUGUGGAUCUGGCAUUGUAGGGGUGUUUGUGAAGCUCCGGGACAAGCAGCGUCACCCCGAGUGCUACGUGUGCAGCGACUGCGGCACCAACCUCAAGCAGAAAGGACACUUCUUCGUGGAAGACCAGAUCUACUGCGAGAAGCACGCGCGGGAGCGGGUCGUCCCCCCGGAGGGCUACGAGGUGGUCACCGUCUUCCCCAAGUAACGCGCGCUGCUCACACAAGGCCGGCGGGGAUGGCUUCUCCGCUGCUGCUUUUCCUUGGAAAGCAUCAUCCCUGCUCCCCAAAAUACCAUUUGCAAUAAGGAAUGCUAGGCAUGGCUUUGGGUUUCCUCGCCGUUAUUAAUCCUCCGUCUGUUCACAUGAGAUGUCACUAAUUGUUCAACAUUCUUUUUGUCUCCUCUUUCACUGUUUGGGUUUGGUUUUGUUUUUUUUUUUUUCAUACACAGAAUUAUAUUUUUUUUCCCUCCUUCGCGCCCAAUCGCACAGUAAAAUCAAGAGGCCAAAGCCAGAGAUUACAAUUCUGUCUCCCGGUUAUUUUGCCUUCUGUUUGCAUCCAAUAAACGGGGUGAAUCCACGAGGGA